UGUUUGUUUGUUUGUUUUUCAGGAAACCCUGACUAUGGUGGAAGCUUCAAGUUUUAACCAGCAUUACUGCUAAAUUCAAGAAUCCUUAUAGGAGAAAGGAUGAAGGAAGAAAUGUAAGGCUUGCUGUUAUGCUGGAAUAUUGAAUCUGAAUGAAAGGUGUCAUUGUUGGAGGCUUAAGACACAGGCCCUGAAAAUGAAAUUACUCUUACUUUAUUUAUUAAUGUUGCAUCAUUGCAAGCAGCUGAAAGCCACGGGCCCUACUGGUGAGGAGUCGAUCCUUCAUGCAGCUCAGGUUUUCUGGUUUCCUAUGUCGUAGAAGAGGCUCUGCAGCAUGCACAGCUACUCACUUUCUGGAGCAAUGUCAAGCGGAGAAGACCUUGUCCGUUCUGCCCUGAUGCAAGGACAGACAGGAGCUGCACGCUGCCUGAGUCCAUUAGCUGGGCAGAGUGCGUGCAGGAGACGAGCAGACACCAUUCCCAAGGUCCCAGUGGCAACUUUGAAUUUCAAGCAUGCCUGGGACUGCUGGGCAAAAAAUAAGGGAACUACCAUCAGUCUUCUGCACGUGCUCAAAGGAUGUGGGCAUGUUACACCACUCGCCCACAGAACCCAUCCUCUAAGUAAAGCUGCUUCAAAGCUUUACUCUUUCAGCCUCGGUCCAACCCGCCAAGUCUCAGCCAACAUGUCAGCUGCAACAAAAGUCACUUCAGAUAUUCCCUGUGCUAUUGGAACGAGGUUGCUUUUUGUGGAAGUGCAGUGACCAAUAACAUGAGCUUGUUGGAUGAAUUAUGUCUUGACACCCAUCCAGGUAAAGCAGCAGAGAUGACGGAUAGUUUGGCAGAAGUAGUGCAAUUAACAUAUGAAAGGAUAUCUAUAACAUAUGGGCAUCAGUAUAUAUUUGUGGAUUAAUACAUGGCUAUUCUUCUGAAAAAUAGGUUUUAAAAUUGUCCUUUCUGCUUAAAAAGUCAAUGAAGAUUUAAUUAUAAACCUGAACAUACCUAAUACAUAUGUAAGAGAGAUCCUGAAAAAAAAUAAUUAGAGGACACAGAAUGAAAGUAAAGCCAAAACUUGUCUAACCAUUAGCUACAAUGGAUUAAUGCCAGUUUACACCACCUGAGAAUCAGGCCAAUACCAUCUAUUUAGCACUGCAUUGUCUUGCAUCUCUUGUGGUAUUUAUUUUCAGUCAUUAGAACAGCUUUGGCAAAAUAAGGUCCUCCUUUAUUUCGGAGGCGAGUCUUAAACAAACCCUAACGCCCAAUGCUCUUUUUCAGUUUCAUUUUGUGGGUGUGUGUACAAUAAGCUGGCUGUAUACGGUACCUUAUAAGCUAUGGAUUGCCUUGCUUUAUGGAUUCUCUUAUAUAUUUAUAUACUAAUUACAUAACUAGUUUAGUAAACUUGUACUUCUUAGGUAAGACGUUCCAGAAAUCAAAAUAGUCAACAUUAAACACCACAAGUACAGCUGCAGUUUUAAAUAUUUUAUAAUCCAAUCAAAUUGUUUGAGUAGUAAUGCAUUUAAAUGUUGUUAUGGAAUCCCCUCUAGACUUUUUAAAAUGGUUACUCUGUUCUUGGCUUUGCUAUUUAUGAAAUUCAUAUGGGAUGACAUUUUUAAUAAUAGAGCAUUUGACUUACAGAGUAGCAAUUCCUGCAGUGUCUCAGUAUAAUCUAUAAUUUUCUGACUGAACUUUCAGAGGGACACAAACACAUAUCACACUUUUAUUAAUGAACAUAUACAUCUGUUGAUGUUGCCAUAAUUGAAAUGACCUUAAGUGAGAAGACCUACAUAAGUCAUUUAGCAUUUUUUAUGAUGCUUGGUUGAAGAUGCUGUGCAGAUGCAGCUCUAGGAAGCUAAGAGAGGAGUACAAAAGCUGUGCUAAAACAACAAAGGAAGGUUUAAUUUAGAAAAAGGCACAACACAAAAUGCAGCCCACGUAUAAUUAAGCAAUGUCCAGUACGAUGGAGUUGGACAGGGGAAAGCUAUCAGGGAGUCUAAAUUACCUCUCCUCCCUAGAGAGGAUGGCACUGUCAGGUCAGGGCUGUGCUAAAUGCUGGGUAACAUAAGGGUAUUUGAUUGCAGUUGCUUUUGCUGUGCAGAGGUUGGGGAUAAACUGUGGACAUCCUUUUUGAGAGGCGUAAGUUCCUGAACCUCCUCAAGCACAAAUAUGUGUCAGAAGGGCACUUAAAAAACAACAGCCAGGGCUUUGGGGAAAAACCCAACCCAAGACAUGCUCCUUUGCACUUUAUCUUAGGCUCUCUUCCAUCGAAUGGCUCAGUCUGAAGCCAGAUAACUGCUCAAAACUGGGGCGAAAAGUUGUGGAAGGGCCGGUGGCAGGCAGGGCUCCCCAGGGACAAGUCAUGUGGUGGCAUCCUGUGCCAGUGGCUGGUGGCAGGAGUAGAGGAAGAGCACUGGCAGGGAGCCUUCAGCCUCUCUGGGAGGCAGAGGUGCUGGUGUCAGCUCACUCCACUUUAAGGAGAGAUCCUACAGGUGGAGGGAUCGAUCCUGCUCCCACGUACACAGCUGUAAAUCUCCCUCACCUGAAAGCUCUGGAGCUACUCCAGGUUAACUUCACUGAAAAUGAGCCUGGAAUCAGGCCCUGUGGUGCCUGAGCUCCUUCAGACUGUUAUUAAUUUGAAAAGAGAAAAUGAAUUCUUGUUAAGGGAAAAUAAGCAGUGUUUAUUAAUAAUAAUUAGAAAGGGAAGACGUUAGUUUUGAUAUAUUGGCUUAAUUUGGUAAAGAGACAGAUCAGUAAAAAACAGAAUUAAUAAUUUUACAAACUGGUAAACAUUUUCUGUGGCUUAAUAUAAACUGU